rnacentral:lncRNA from 1 species
UCAUUAGUACGUAAGAUUGCUAGCACAGUUUGUUAGUUUCUUUUUCUACUUCUCAUUUAAUUCAUUAUUUUUCAGUAAGAAUACAGUUCAUUUUGUGCCCUUUUAUAUUCCAUUAAGUUAUAUCAUAUCAUAAUUUUGUAAUGAAUUUGGAAAACGUUCCUGGCCUGAAAAAUGUUGAAGGGUUCGAAAAAUAUUUAUGAAUUCUAAAAACAUAUGAAAUUGAACAAAAAAUUGUGAUUUAGAGGAAGAGUUCACUUAUUCAAAAAUUGUUCAUGAACUCACAAAAUCUUCAUAAGUUUUGAACAACGUUAGAGAAGAAUUAAGAAAAAAAAG